rnacentral:lncRNA from 1 species
CUCUUAAAGUAGUUCAAGCAUAGCCUGUCGCUGCCCAGAAAUCAUUCCAACGUGUGUAAGGUCCCCAAAUUCAAGGAUCAAGUCAUUCCUCUUCUCAUUGGGUGUACCUGCAGCUACCUGUAAGUUGUUUGCAAUUUGCAAAUAAAGUCAUGAUUAAAUGUCUAUAAGAGCCAUUUCUUUAUAGUUUUAACAAGAAAAUCUGUUACCUUAUUUUGCAGAAGCUUGUUUUCUUCCCUCAGCAUCUUUUCCUGCAGGUGGAGAUGUGGAGGUAAGUAGGUUGACUGAUUUUUAAUAUGCUAUUAUAAUUGCAGUCAACUGUCUGUGUCCUUGAGUCCUCCACAAAUUCUUCUGUGAUGAAACUAGGCUAUAAUGGAUAAAUUGAUUCAAGCUAGUUAUAUAGUUAUUGUUGCAAGUCCACAGAACAUUCAAAUGCUAGUACUAUAUAUAGUUGUGGAGAAGAAUUUCAGUGUUGCAAGAACUUUAUUUCUAAGUCUAAUAAUACAUCAGAAGAUGCGUAGCAGAUAUAUCUGUCAGGAACCUCUAUAUCUAAAUACACGAUAAAUAUAAUAUCAACCGCAGAUCCAGCCCAGUGGAAAAUUUUCCUUGACAUGAUGUUGAUUGACAUAUAACUGUAUCGGAGAAAGAAAAUCUUUCUCGUUUCAUAGAAUUUGAUGAGGAUUGAGAAUAUGCUAUGUACUUUUGAGGGCAUUUAUUCUUUAUACACAAAUUUCAGUAGUAAAAAUGGAAAUAGGAAAAAUGUUUCUAAAAAAGUGUAAGGCUGCAGAUUGCUUUGACAUACCACUUCACUUAGACUGGUUAUUGAUUCCAUCAGUAAUCGUGUCUGCACGAAAAUAUCACACGAGGUAAAGUAAUAAGAAACCCGAAAUCAUGAAAACCAGAAGUUGUUAAGAAACAAAAGAUGAGAGUUACGGAAUCAACAGAAGUGUGCUUGAAUAGGGGAGGAACAUUGAAAAUUUGUCAGUCUCCUCCCAAAUGAUACAUGGCUUAUUCAUCCUCUUGCAGAACUUUCACCAUCUUACGUUUCUGGGCCUCUUUCUUUUUCCCGCUCUCUGUUAGUAGUUUUUUGACUGCUUCUCAUGAAUGUUAUAGUUACACCAUUAUAUUCAAAAGUCUGAUCUCAUUUUAGAUAACUAGUUUGUUAAUUGUACAGUAAAGAUAGAGGCAAGCUGAUUAACAAUUCAUGCACUCGAAGAUUCCAAUCUACUGAUCUCAGGAAAGAUGCAAGACAUGGUACUGUACCCAGAUAGAGAAAAUUGCUUUGUGGGCCUAAUUUUUGGAAACAACAAUAACCUUAUAAUUCUCAUCAACCCACACUUGUCCAACCAUCUACACACUAGCAUGUCUAGUAAACCAGUUUAGGAAUAUUAACCUUGAUGUAGUUGUCAUUCUAGCUCUUUUCACGCCAUAACUAUCAUUAGUGUCACAACAAAUAUGGAACAAAGUACAUUAUUUUACUAUGAUGCGAAGAACCUUUUAUUUCUUAUUUGGUCAUUUACCUUUUUAAGGAUAAGGAUGUCCCAAGACACCUUUAUUCUACUAAAAGUCAAAGAAGAAAUCUUUCUGCUAUUAAAGUCAAAGAUAGUAAUUACCACAUCUCAUAGUGACUUUUUCUAGUUAUGCAGGCUUAAUUUCAAAAUACUUCAAUGUGCUAAAUACAAAGUUAGAGACACAGAUCUAUGAAAUCCUUUUACUGAAACUAUGUAACAGUGGAAGUGGAAACACAGAUAUGAAAUCCUUUUACUGAAAAUAUCUGACAGUCGAAGUGGCACCACCAAUGCAAAGAAUUAUUCUCUCUACUGUCAGAUUGCAGAUUUGCACGAGUUCUUUCAAUAAAUAGCUUACACAGUUACACCUAUUUUGAGAAAACUGGAGAAAAACA